rnacentral:rRNA from 1 species
UACGGAGGAUGCAAGCGUUAUCCGGAUUUAUUGGGUUUAAAGGGUGCGUAGGCGGACAUGUAAGUCAGCGGUGAAACUCACAGGCUCAACCUGUGCCGUGCCGUUGAAACUGUGUAUCUGGAAUGCGGAUGCUGUGGGAGGAAUGUGUAGUGUAGCGGUGAAAUGCAUAGAUAUUACACAGAACACCGAUUGCGAAGGCAUCUCACAAAGCCGUUAUUGACGCUGAGGCACGAAAGUGUGGGGAUCAAA